ACGGAAGGCAGCAGUGGGGAAUAUUGCACAGUGGGCGCAAGCAUGAUGCAGCGAUGCCGCGUGAGGGAAGAAGGUUUUCGGAUUGUAAACCUCUGUCAACAGGGACGAAAAUGACGGUACCUGUGAAGGAAGCUCCGGCUAACUACGUGCCAGCAGCCGCGGUAAUACGUAGGGAGCAAGCGUUAUCCGGAUUUACUGGGUGUAAAGGGAGUGUAGGCGGGACUGUAAGUCAGAUGUGAAAUAUGCCGGCUCAACUGGCAGACUGCAUUUGAAACUGCGGUUCUUGAGUGAAGUAGAGGUAAGCGGAAUUCCUAGUGUAGCGGUGAAAUGCGUAGAUAUUAGGAGGAACAUCAGUGGCGAAGGCGGCUUACUGGGCUUUAACUGACGCUGAGGCUCGAAAGCGUGGGGAGCAAACAGGAUUAGAUACCCUGGUA
rnacentral:rRNA from 1 species